GCAUGUAGACAAAAGGACACGCAGGUCCUUGGGGACUGUGCCAGAAACCAGGGCAUGAGGUGACUUAAAACAUAUUGUCACCUGCCUCCUUGUGGGGGAGGUAGAGGGGAUGUAGCAGGUGUGACAGUGAACGUGGGACUGGAGGGGAAAUGAAUUUUCCUGGCUUCACUGCUAAAUAAAGUGAGCAUUUUUGGUUUGGGGACGCUGACUUUAAAACAGUGGAGUAUACAGUGGUGUCGCUAUUUGCCUUAAUGUCGCUGUGGCGUCUUGUCACUCUAUGCUCAUCUGCAGGUGGAUGGCAAGCAUUCCGAUGAGGCAGCCUUGAUCCUCCACAGGAAGGGGUUUGACUGCCACUUCUCGAGCAGAGACACGGGGCUGCUUUGUUCCACAACCCAGGGAAAGAUUUUGGUACAGAAGCUUUUUAGCAUGUUUACUGUCGCAAGUCUCAUACCUUCGUCAUUAUCCUUGAUGCAUUCACCUCCAGACGCCCGAAAUAUAAGUGAGAUCAACUUGAGUCCCAUGGAAAUCAGCACAUUCCGAAUCCAGUUGAGAUGAACCUGGCUUUCAAAUUUGGAUGGGAAGCACUGUCUUUUAUACACUUCUUGGUUUGACAUGCAAUAAGGAAGCACAUUAUUUUAGCUUCUGGCUACUGUGAGGACAUGAAUUCUGUGAUUGUUAUUAUAAUUAUUAUUAUUAUUUUUUUUUUUACUAGUACAGAAAGAAAAAAAAAAAAGCCAUGCUAUAGCCAGUUUUUCUUUAAGUUCCAUCCAUGAAUCACCACCAUCAGUAUGAAUCGAUGCAACAAUGAAGGAAGAAAUGUCUAAAACAACCUCUCCACAGAUUGUAUCUCAGGUUAAA